rnacentral:siRNA from 1 species
UACUUUUCAAAAAUGUGACAGUGC